rnacentral:rRNA from 1 species
UACGUAGGGGGCAAGCGUUGUCCGGAAUUAUUGGGCGUAAAGAGCGCGUAGGCGGUCCGAUAAGUCGGCUGUGAAAGUCCAGGGCUCAACCUCGAGACGCCGGUGGAAACCGUAAGGCUAGAGUCCGGAAGAGGAGACUGGAAUUCAUGGUGUAGCAGUGAAAUGCGUAGAGAUCAUGAGGAAGACCAGUGGCGAAGGCGGGUCUCUGGACAGUUCCUGACACUGAGACACGAAGGCCAGGGGAGCAAACGGG